UACGUAGGGUGCGGGCGUUAAUCGGAAUUACUGGGCGUAAAGCGUGCGCAGGCGGCUCCUUAAGUCAGAUGUGAAAUCCCCGGGCUUAACCUGGGAACUGCGUUUGAAACUGAGGGGCUUGAGUGUGGAAGAGGGGGGUGGAAUUCCAGGUGUAGCAGUGAAAUGCGUAGAGAUCUGGAGGAACACCGAUGGCGAAGGCAGCCCCCUGGGCUAACACUGACGCUCAUGCACGAAAGCGUGGGGAGCAAACAGG
rnacentral:rRNA from 2 species